CCUACGGGAGGCAGCAGUGGGGAAUAUUGGGCAAUGGACGAAAGUCUGACCCAGCGACGCCGCGUGCGGGAUGAAGGCCUUCGGGUUGUAAACCGCUUUCAGCAGGGAAUAAGCGCAAGUGAAGGUACCUGCAGAAGAAGCACCGGCUAACUAUGUGCCAGCAGCCGCGGUAAUACAUAGGGUGCAAGCGUUGUCCGGAAUUAUUGGGCGUAAAGAGCUCGUAGGUGGUUUGUUACGUCGGUUGUGAAAUUCAGGGGCUCAACCCCUGACUUGCAGCCGAUACGGGCAAGCUAGAGUUUGGUAGGGGAGACUGGAAUUCCUGGUGUAGCGGUGGAAUGCGCAGAUAUCAGGAGGAACACCGAUGGCGAAGGCAGGUCUCUGGGCCAAUACUGACACUGAGGAGCGAAAGCGUGGGGAGCGAACAGGAUUAGAUACCCUGGUAGUCCACGCCGUAAACGGUGGGCGCUAGUUGUGCGAACCUUCCACGGUUUGUGCGACGCAGCUAACGCAUUAAGCGCCCCGCCUGGGGAGUACGAUCGCAAGAUUAAAACUCAAAGGAAUUGACGG
rnacentral:rRNA from 1 species